rnacentral:piRNA from 1 species
UGUGAAGUUAUGAUUUCAUGUGCAUGAAG